GCGCUCUUAGCUCAGUUGGUAGAGCAGCAGACUCUUAAUCUGCGGGUCGUGGGUUCGAUCCCCCCAGGGCGUACCA
rnacentral:tRNA from 1 species